rnacentral:rRNA from 1 species
CUGAAACCGUGUACGUACAAGCAGUGGGAGCACCCUUUUGGGUGUGACUGCGUACCUUUUGUAUAAUGGGUCAGCGACUUAUAUUCUGUAGCAAGGUUAACCGUAUAGGGGAGCCGGAGGGAAACCGAGUCUUAAUUGGGCGUUAAGUUGCAGGGUAUAGACCCGAAACCCGGUGAUCUAGCCAUGGGCAGGUUGAAGGUUGGGUAACACUAACUGGAGGACCGAACCGACUAAUGUUGAAAAAUUAGCGGAUGACCUGUGGCUGGGGGUGAAAGGCCAAUCAAACCGGGAGAUAGCUGGUUCUCCCCGAAAGCUAUUUAGGUAGCGCCUCGUGAAUUCAUCUCCGGGGGUAGAGCACUGUUUCGGCUAGGGGGCCAUCCCGGCUUACCAACCCGAUGCAAACUGCGAAUACCGGAGAAUGUUAUCACGGGAGACACACGGCGGGUGCUAACGUCCGUCGUGAAGAGGGAAACAACCCAGACCGCCAGCUAAGGUCCCAAAGUCAUGGUUAAGUGGGAAACGAUGUGGGAAGGCCCAGACAGCCAGGAUGUUGGCUUAGAAGCAGCCAUCAUUUAAAGAAAGCGUAAUAGCUCACUGGUCGAGUCGGCCUGCGCGGAAGAUGUAACGGGGCUAAACCAUGCACCGAAGCUGCGGCAGCGACGCUGAUGCGUUGUUGGGUAGGGGAGCGUUCUGUAAGCCUGCGAAGGUGGCCUGUGAGGGUUGCUGGAGGUAUCAGAAGUGCGAAUGCUGACAUAAGUAACGAUAAAGCGGGUGAAAAGCCCGCUCGCCGGAAGACCAAGGGUUCCUGUCCAACGUUAAUCGGGGCAGGG